CCUACGGGUGGCAGCAGUGAGGAAUAUUGGUCAAUGGUCGGGAGACUGAACCAGCCAAGCCGCGUGAGGGAUGAAGGUACAGAGUAUCGUAAACUUCUUUUGUCAGGGAACAAAGGCGGGGAAGCGUCCCCGGAUGAGUGUACCUGAAGAAAAAGCAUCGGCUAACUCCGUGCCAGCAGCCGCGGUAAUACGGAGGAUGCGAGCGUUAUCCGGAUUUAUUGGGUUUAAAGGGUGCGCAGGCGGGUUUUUAAGUCAGUGGGUCAAGGCCGGGGCUCAACCCCGGCCCCGCCGUUGAUACUGGCAGUCUCGAGUUGGAGAGAAGUAGGCGGAAUGCGCGGUGUAGCGGUGAAAUGCAUAGAUAUCGCGCAGAACUCCGAUUGCGAAGGCAGCAUGCCGGCUCCACACUGACGCUGAGGCACGAAAGCGUGGGUAUCGAACAGGAUUAGAUACCCCGGUAGUC
rnacentral:rRNA from 1 species